GAGCGAGAAAGCUCCUUCGGGAGUAAGUAAAGCGGCGAACGGGUGAGCAACGCGUGAGAAUCUACCCUUUAGUGAAGAAUACCCUCGAGAAAUCGAGGCUAAUACUGCAUACGUCCCUUCGGGGAGAAAGAUGGCCUCUUUGCUAUCGCUAAAGGAUGAGCUUGCGUACUAUUAGCUAGUUGGCAGGGUAAAGGCCCACCAAGGCAAUGAUGGUUAACCGGCCUGAGAGGGUGUACGGUCACACUGGAACUUAGACACGGUCCAGACUCCUACGGGAGGCAGCAGUGAGGAAUCUUGCGCAAUGGGCGAAAGCCUGACGCAGCGACGCCGCGUGGAGGAUGACGGUUUUCGGAUUGUAAACUCCUGUUAAGCGGGAAGAAAGCCUUGUUUCUAAUACAAGCAAGGUAUGACGGUACCGCUAGAGAAAGCACCGGCUAACUUCGUGCCAGCAGCCGCGGUAAUACGAGGGGUGCAAGCGUUAUUCGGAUUGAUUGGGUGUAAAGGGUGUGCAGACGGCUUAUUAAGUCACUUGUUAAAUUCUUCGGCCUAACUGAAGGUAUGCAGGUGAUACUGUUGAGCUAGAGGGUGGAAGAGAGAAGUGGAAUUCUCGGAGUAGCGGUAAAAUGCGUAGAUCUCGAGAGGAACACCAAUGGCGAAGGCAGCUUCUUGGUCCAUUCCUGACGUUCAUACACGAAAGCGUGGGGAGCAAACAGGAUUAGAUACCCUGGUAGUCCACGCUGUAAACGAUGAUCACUAGACGUUAAUUCUGUUUAACAGAAUUAGUGUCGUAGCUAACGCGUUAAGUGAUCCACCUGGGGAUUACGGUCGCAAGACUA
rnacentral:rRNA from 1 species